UGGGUGACACCUGUAGGGUGUGGCUCUUCCAUUAAGGCCCCUUUAAAUAGGAGUGGGCGGGGCUGCCCUGCAGUGUCAGAUUCUUGUGGGUGGCCAGGUUGACUGCUGGGCCCACGCUGUUUGUGCAGCAGCUGUGAGCCACUGGGGUAAAUUUGUUUUUUGUUAACCAUGUUUGUUUUUAUUAUUGUUUUUUAAAUAUUUUGAAUGUAUGUAUUUUAUGACAGGGCUGCAGUAUCUGAAGGUAGACCUACAGGGUAAAUGACUGAGUGUGGGUCCUCGAUACCACAGUCAUCAUACCGCUACCUGCUGUCCUUCUUAUAUUGUGUUUUUAGUUUUUUUACUCCAAUUAGUCUGCAAGACGCAGACUAACUGCUUUUACAUUUUUUUAUUAUUUUUUAUUUGUGGUCACUUCCGGGUCUGUAAUUUCUGUUUGCCAGCCGAUUAGUUUUUAGCAUGUGCAUGUGUGUAUUGUCUGUCAUUUUAUAAGUUUUUACCUUUUUAUCCUUUUAAACUGUUUUUAGUGCUCGCAGCAAGUUGCUGCCUUACAUUUGUUUUAUCUCGGCUCAGGACAACAGUGAAACCUUUUAAAGACCAGGAAUGCUGUAACAAAUAAAUACUGUCAAUUUAUUUGAA